GAUGAAGAACGUAGUGAAAUGCGAUAAGUAAUGUGAAUUGCAGAAUUCAGUGAAUCAUCGAAUCUUUGAACGCACAUUGCGCCCGCCAGUAUUCUGGCGGGCAUGCCUGUUCGAGCGUCAUUUCAACCCUCAGGCCCCCAGUGCCUGGUGUUGGGGAUCGGCACAGCCUUCCUGUAAGGCCGCCGGCCCCGAAAUCUAGUGGCGGUCUCGCUGUAGUCCUCCUCUGCGUAGUAGCACAACCUCGCAGUUGGAACGCGGCGGUGGCCAUGCCGUUAAACACCCCACUUCUGAAAGUUGACCUCGGAUCAGGUAGGAAUACCCGCUGAACUUAAGCAUAUCAUAAGCGGAGGA
rnacentral:misc_RNA from 1 species